GAAGGCAAACACCCACGGAUAGCCUGCGAUGCUGCCAAGAACAAGGGCUGAUGUGAUGCAGUGAUGGAUUGUGGGAUAUCCUCGGAUUCACAGGACUCUGCUGGCCUCUACUCACUUUCUACUACAACAGCACCACCCUGUGGAGCAGCAGAGCUGGUGCAGUGGCGUGGUCUCAGGGGGCUGGAGCCUAUCCCAGCUGACUACAGCUGAGAGGCGGGGUUCACUCUGGACUGGUCGCCAGUCAAUCACAGGGCCUUAAAAAUGAAUAUGUAACAUUAAUCUUAAACUGUCUGAUUACUGAAUGGAGUUUGGUGCACAGGACUUUACACAAACAGCACCAUCCUGUGGGCCAGCUGAGCAACUACAGCAACGCCAGUCUGACACUGUCAAAGACCAGAAAGUGUCCAGUCUCAGGCCCCAGUGCUCCCAGAAACAAGAAACACAAACACAGCAUCCAUCUUCAAAAUUAAACUUUAUUAAUGAGAGCAUGAUUGUUCAGGUGAAACUGCACACAGUGCAGACACACCUGUCGGCACCUCCAAACCUUCUGAUUCAAAAGACCUUCAUCUCAUUUCCACUAAGGAGGAGGAGAAGGAGGAGGAAGAGGAGAAAGACAGACGUGAGAUGAGCAGAGACUCACAUCUGGAAUGUGAAGAAGGAUCCAGAGACUGUCUGGAUUCAACACUGGUGCAGUUUAAACAAGCAGUUUGGACUGUGACCCCCCCCCCAUCCUGUACUGAUAAGGUGUAAUCAAUGGGGGCGGGGACAAAGCCCAGGUAAACAGAGAAAGGCACAUGUAUGGCUUGUUUACAGGCUGGAGAAACACUGUGAGAAGAUCAGCGGGCAGCGACACAUUAAAUCAACACAGAUAACAGGAGACACGCUGGUUUUCAAGGAUGAUUGGUUUAUCUCCAGGGGCGCGGCGGCUUGUUUUCAGGGGCAGGGUCGGUUUUUCAGAGGGGCUUCUGUCCAGGAAUGAGUGCAGACGGACGUCAACGUUCAGGAAUGUUUUGGUCGUUCAGUUCGGGGGGGGACAUGACGGCCAGCUGAUGGUCGCAACAAGGUCGUCUUCGUCGCCA